AUAUAAGGCUAUAACAUGGUUACGACGGCAAAAUUACCAGCGAUUACUGCGAGAGACUGCACAGUGAUUGAAUGAGAGGAGGGGGGCUUUAUGGCCACAGCGCUGGGUGUCGGAGAAACACACACACACACACACACACACACACACACACAUACAUCACUACUGCGUGGAAAUGAGUACUGGGACCGUUUCAUAUAUAUUCAGUAUUGAUGAUCUACUUUUGAAAAAACUAGAAUCAAGAAACUAAAUCUCUUCACUUGACACUUGGCCGAGGCUGCUGUAGAUGAAGACAUCAUGUUAAGGUACCGUCUGCCCCCUAACAAGGCCAGCCCGGUCCAGUGUAGCUCCUCCAACGUGGUGGGGACGGAUGAGGAGGUUAGAGGGUAUUCAGACUUCAGAGGGGGUACUCAGUUGGCUGCAAUCUGCAACCUCACCACUAGAUGCCACCAAAACCCUUCACACUGCACCUUUGAAAACACCCAAUAACAUGAGGCGAGAACCGCUGCAUUAGAGGGUGAUGAAGAAUCUGUACGACUGCGAAACACACAUCCUACAGACCUCCAUCCUUUAAAACAAUGUUGUUUACCGUAGCCUCAAACAGGCCUGAACUCCACAAACAGGCCUGAACCUAACAAACAGGCCUGAACCUAACAAACAGGCCUGAACUCCACAAACAGGCCUGAACCUAACAAACAGGCCUGAACCUAACAAACAGGCCUGAACCUAACAAACAGGCCUGAACUCAACCAACAGGCCUGAACUCAACAAACAGGCCUGAACUCAACAAACAGGCCUGAACUCAACAAACAGGUCUGAACUCAACAAACAGGCCGGAACUUAAAAAACAGGCCUGACCUUAAUAAAACAGGCCUGACCUUAACAAACAGGCCUGCCAACAAUGCUAACAGGCUAACUGACUCAAAAAUAAACACGCUAACAAGCCAACAGGCUCACAUGCCAAUGGGCUAACAUGCUUAAAAGCAGACAGGCUAACAAGCUAACAGGCUUGUGGCGUUCUAUCAGUGCAGCGGACCUGAGUGUUGUCAUGGAAACAUCUGGUCGAUGGUUGCAUUUGACCGUUGUUCAUUUUGGAUUUGUAUAGCAUGGACUGUUAACAUGCAGAUGUGUAUCGUCAUUGAUAAAUAAUGCACACACACAAACACACUCACACACACACUCACACACACACACAACACAAACCCACACACGCUAAAACCCAUAUCAGAACAGGGUAUCAGAAAAGGUAAAACCCAUAUCAGAACAAGGUAACACAAACCCACACAAGCUAAAACCCAUAUCAGAACAGGGUAGCGCACACACACACACACACACACACACACACACACACACACACACACACACACACACACACACACACACACACACACACACACACACACACACACACACACACACACACACACACACACACACACAAAGUUAACUGACCAGUCGGAUCAGGGUAUUCAAGUACAUUGUGUUAUAAAUGGUUAAUGUGUUUUGUGGAGCUCUGCUACUGGUCUAGAGCGCUCGCUCUGCGACAGGUGCAGAGCGAGCUGGCGCUCUCCGUGGGAGCGGUUCAGGAGCAGGGUGUCAUCCCAAUACACACACGGGUCAGGGUCUGCAGCUGGGUCACGGGUUAAUGACAAACCAAGAACACAAGGAAGUAGAGACCCCCCACACACACACACACACACACCAGGGUGAAACCCAUAUCAGGACAAAGUAACACAAACACACACAAGGUAAAACCCAUAUCAGAACAAGGUAACACAAACACACACAACCCAUAUCAGAACAAGGUAACACAAACACACACAACCCAUAUCAGAACAAGGUAACACAAACACACACACACAAUCACACACACACACAACCAAUACACACACAAAACCAAAAUCAGAAAAGGUAAAACCCACAUCAGAACAGGGUACCCCACACACACUAAGAGACUAAACACACGGCGCUACUCAGACCGUGCACGCCCCUUCUGCUGGUCAGGACGUCUGCGUGGGCCCAGACGUGCGGCCCUCCCAGAUGUCAGCAGCGGGUCACCCUAGCAACUCGUGCACGCGCUCCGUUUGGUUUUGUUUCAGCCAGAUACCAGAAUAAAGUGAAAGCACCCGGCCGGCUCAGAGCCCUGAGCCACCGCCGGUUGGGAAACACCGACGGCUCCCGGUGGGGGGGGAGGCCCCCGUGGUCAGACACCUCGGCCCCCCCCGCCCCCGCGUCGGUGGGGGUGGCCCCGUGGUCAGACACCCCGGCCCUCCGUCAGGUUCUUCCCGACAGGAAGCCGAAGGAGCAGAACUUCCAGGUCAGCACUUCCUAUCUCCUUACACAGCGCUUCCUGUUUAGGGGCGGGGUCAGAGACGGCCUCCUUUAACCCUCAGACACUCAGGGUGGUGUUGGUGGGUUACCAGAGAGACUGGGGAGGGGAGAGGUGGGGGCAUGCAGGUAAACAACACACACACACACACACACACACACACACACACACACACACACACACACACACACACACACACACACACAGACACACACACACACACACACACACACAACACACACACACCUGCCUGUGGUGCAAUAAGAACCAACCAGAGACGAUUCUAAUCACGGGAAAGAACGACUGCAGCCAACACCUUGCCGUGUAUAAAAGUGUAGCAUGAUGUUCAACCUAUUCAACCUUAGCAGGUAGCCCUGGCAUAUAUCCAUAGCAUGUAGCCCUAGCCUACAACCUUAGCACGUAGCCCUGGCAUGGAACCAUAGCAUGUAGCCCUAGCAUAAAACCGUAGAAGGUAGCCCUUGCAUUCAACAUUAGCACGUUGUCCUAUCACACAACCUUGCAACCCUAUCGCACAACCGUAGCAUGAAGCUACACUUGUAGGUAGAAGACUAUGGGCUGAGGCUAGCACCGCGGGCGUGUUGGGACACAGCGCUACGUUCCACCGGAGGCUAGCUCUGACAGAGAGAAUUCCUUAGUGAGAGCUUAGCCCACCUCAGUGCAUCCCCUCCGGAGCCCUGGGGCAACAUCCACUAAUAUCAGAGCCGUUAAUCAUCCCAGAAGGGGGUUCUGGUUGCCAAAGCAGAAAGUACAGCAGGACAGUAAGAUUAUAGAAUUAUAGGAAAAUUAACAUAUGACGACGAGAUCUAUUUUUAAGUAUUGGUCUUCAUUAAGCUGUGACUGACAGCAGUAAUUAAGGCGCAGGUAGGUGCUCUGAUUCAGAGUGGCCCAGGGACCAGGAGAGGACAGUAUAGCGCCCACCCAAGCACCGCGGUAGACUUGGGCGCCAAACCCAAAACCUUACAGAUGGGGUCCGACACCCGAAACCACUACACCAACCAGCCCCCACCUUAACUGCCACCCUCGAUGUAAGAGGAGAACCAGGAGGGAAACGAGGAUUUAAAACCGGAUGAGCAUGCUGUUUCAAAAGUUUGUUUAAAAGAUGUUUGGACGCGUACUUUCUGCAUCCCCCUAGUGUUGAGAGACCGAUUCAUACUGCUUUAGUCCUUAACUCCUCGUCAUGACUGUCCCCACUGAAGCACCAUCGUGUUUAGAAGACACCCUGCAUGCCUGGCUGCACACAGACGUAGGAACUACAGAAGUGGAGUAGAUUGGAUCUAUAACCCGUUUCACAGCAUAGCAAGGAAGCUGAAUAACAGGCUAGUCACUCUAAAAACACUCAGGGAGCUGGGGGGAGACACCGGGCUGGGAGAUUGCCGAGCCCAACGGGUUAUACUCCUCCAUGCUUCCACACAGGACACACGCACAGAGAUGAACCCCCGUCAGCAGCAGCAGCAACAUACUGUGCUGCUCCUCAUUUUACAGCAUCACUCAUCACAGGCGCACGACCCUGGCUGGGAGACACACAGGCAGGUCAACCCGGCUGUAGGGAAGGGCAGGCCCUGCGUCUGGCUCCCAGCCCUGACUGUAAAGCCCGGGCUGAACGGACCGAGGGGGAGACUAGGCCCUGAGGCAAGGGGGCAUAACAGGUCCCGGUCUCUGGGUCGGGAGGGGGGGGAGACGGGAUGGAAGGGGGAUGUGAUGAUUCGGAGGGAGGGGGAAAGCUACAUCACACACGUUAGAAUCCAAGCACAGGCUGACCGCGCACCAAGGCUCGUGACACAGUUUAAAUGAGCGUGCGUGCGCGCCGGCGCACUCGAGUGUCACACUUUACGGUGGCCCUACGAGGAGACAACCAGUGUGAACCAGGAACAAUGUGGUCACCGUUCACACCACAAUCUGACGCGGUUCCGAGCACCUCGGAAAUGUUGAAGCUCUGUAGGCAGAGGAGACAAACAUUGAGUCCGCGGCCACGUCAACAGAGACUAAACACGCCAUGGCUGUGAGUGACAGCCAGGCAACUUAACACAACAACUACCGUUGUUUUUAUAGUGUAUGUGCGACACAUUGAGGCACAGGAGUGACUUGUCCCAGGUUCUGCUGUCCUGUAAAUACGCUCCCAUGCAGACGACGUGCUGCUCUUUCUACUCAACAGUCAACACUCAGCUGAG
ensembl:lncRNA